AAUAAUGGGCUCUGAACUAGAGCCUGAUCCUGAACCCAAUCUUGAUCCUAAACCCGAACCUCGCAUGAUCAUCACCAUCCUCAACUUAAAAAGAUACCACAUGAUAUAAAUUGAUAAGGAAGUUCGAAGGGGUUCCUCCUCACCGGAAUCCUUAGAGCUUCCAGGACAGACAUUUUUUUGGGUACAAGUCAUGUGCUUUUAGUUGUACGGGCCCAAUACUACCUUCCACACCUACCUGUACCUUCCCCAAGGCCAUACCAGAUACUGAUGGGUUUUAGCCAUAAGAACUUUCCUAUGUGCGCAUGCAAAACCCUAAUGCUUGGAUCUAGGCUUUCUAAUAAACAUGCUUUGAAUCCAAGACUUCUAAUUACUAAUUAGGUUAAAUAACAACAUUGAAACAGAUCUAGAAUCAUACCUUUGAGUUCCUUGUUGAUCUUGAGGUCUUGGAGCUUCUAGAGUCACAAAUGUCACUCCUCUAAUGGCUUACAAACACCAAUAGCAAGGAAGAUGAUUUAGGAGAGAGGAGAGGGAAGGAAAUCGGCCAGGGUUCUCUUACUUUAGGAGAGAUGCCGAUUUCCCUAUGCCAUGGGGUCUAUUUAUACUUGUAGACUCCUUAAGGGUUACAACCUAAACCCUAAUUGGAUAAUCUUCUCUUAAGGCUAUCCAAAUCCUUUCCAUAGAUAAGCCUUUGGACGAUUUUGGCUAUCCUAAUACUCUUAGAAUUCGUCCAAAGCAUAUCCCAAUGGAUUUACAGUCUAAAGCUUAACUAUCAAACAAUUGACAGUUUAUACCCCUUUAUUUAAUUAAUCUCUUUAAGUCACCAAAUUAAUUCUAAUUAAUUCUAUGACUUAUAUUAAUCAAAUAACAAAUAUAUUAUUCAUUAUAUUAUUCUCAUAAUAUAUUAAUAAUAUUUACUCUCUCUUAAUAAAUCAUCCUAUCAAGUUGCUAUGGUGAAGGCAACCCAAAAGGACCAUGCACAACCGGGUCAAAUACUUGCCUAAUAUAGUUGCAGCCUUAGACACUAUUCCAACAAUCUCCCACUUGGAUAAGUCUAGUAACUAUAUACACAAGUACAAUUCGGUUUGCAAUCGUAGCUCUCAAAGACGCUGUCAACUCUGAUCUAAUCAAUCUUGUCCUUUAGAUAAGGGAACGUACAGUCCUCUGUUAGAUAUCAUGCUGACAAUCCUAUGGAAUGGUUAGUCAAGCAUUUAGGUUUCUCGAUCUCUGAUUUAUUUGACAUAGAACUUAAUCGAACACAUCAAUUCAGUUCUGACCGGGCCCGGCACAUAAGUCAAAUCAAAUCAUCGAGCGGCCGAGAUAUCGCUUUUACCUUCUUAGAUAAAAGUUACAGAUAAACUUCGACUUAUAUGCAUUUACUUAUUCAUUAACCAACUAUACACAACAAUACGUUUUAUAACACCGAGUUACUGAUGCGUUUUCGCAUUAUCAAUGUACAAUCAAUUAACAAAUAAUAAACCAUAUAUCUAGGUUUUAAGACUAUAUGAUAUUAUCGUCUUGCGAUCACCCUUUUAUAUCAUAUUCCAUAAGGUGAUUCCAGCAAGCGCGGGUUUGUUCCAAUGCUCAAAACUAGUUCAUAAGCACUCAUGAACGUUGCAGCAACCCUUUGCUAUGUCUAACACCAUUUAGACAAUCUACACACCAAUUCAUGACAAUCUUCAUUCAUAUCUACUUCCAACAUAUGAACGAUUGUGGACAAUUUGAACAAUUCGAUUAUUCCUAAUAAACUCAAUUAUUCUGGAAGUCAAAACAUGCAAAGUGAAACAAUAGUUAAACAAUUAACAUAAGAUAGUAACAUUACUCAUAAAUAAAACUCCUUUAUUUAAUCAUCAAAUGUUAAUUACAUUUAUCUAUUACACGUUUCUAAUACUAUCUAAUCUAUGCUAAUAUCAUCCUUCAGCCCAAUACUCCUAGCAUGCUGCAAGUGCUUAACCCUACUCAGUCCCUUCGUAAGCGGAUCUGCUGGGUUAUCUUCUGAUGAUAUCCUCUUCACUACGAGUUGUCCUUCUUCUACACGAUGUCUAAUGAAGUGAUAUUUUCUGUCGAUAUGUCUUGAUCUACCAUGAUCCCUCGGUUCCUUGGUCAAGGCAACCGCUCCUUCGUUAUCACAGAAAAUCUCCAUGGGCUCCUUUAUGGCAGGUACAACUCCAAGAUCACCGAUGAAGUUCUUUAGCCAUAUUGCCUCCUUCGACGCUUCGCUCGCUGCAAUGUACUCUGAUUCGCACGUUGAAUCAGCUACGGUUUCCUGCUUGGAACUCUUCCAUGUCACUGCUCCUCCAUUUAGGGUAAAGACCCAGCCCGACUGCGAACGGUAGUUGUCCCUGUCGGUCUGAAAACUGGCGUCACUAUACCCUCGCACCUUCAAGUCAUCACUCCCUCCGAGGACUAAGAACCAUUCCUUCGUCCUCCGAAGGUACUUAAGGAUAUUCUUCACCGCAAUCCAAUGUGCUCUGCCAGGAUUCCCUUGAUAUCUGCUAACCAUGCUCAAAGCGAAGGCUACAUCAGGGCGAGUACAAGUCAUAGCGUACAUGAUUGAGCCAACUGCGGAAGCGUAUGGUACUCGGCUCAUUUCUGCUAUCUCAGCUUCGGUACUCGGACUUUGAGUCUUACUCAAUUUGGCAUUACUUUGUAUCGGUAGUUCUCCCUUCUUUGAGUUUUCCAUACUAAAACGUUUUAGUACCUUCUCUAAGUAAGUAUUCUGACUAAGUCCAAUUAGUCUCUUACUUCUUUCUCUUACUAUCCUUAUUCCCAAAAUGUAAGAAGCCUCUCCGAGGUCCUUCAUAGCGAAGCACUUCCCGAGCCAGGACUUAACCUCCUGCAGAGUCGGGAUGUCGUUUCCUAUGAGUAAUAUGUCAUCGACAUAUAGAACGAGGAAGCUUACUAUACUCCCACUGGCUUUGACAUAUACACAAGAUUCGUCUUCGCUUCGUACAAAUCCAAACUCUUUGACUUUCUCAUCGAAGCAAAGAUUCCAUCUGCGAGACGCUUGCUUAAGUCCAUAAAUGGACUUCUCAAGCUUACACACUCUAUUCGGAUGCUUCGGAUCCACAAACCCCUCUGGCUGAGCCAUGUAAACAUCCUCAGCCAACUUUCCGUUAAGGAAAGCGGUCUUGACAUCCAUUUGCCAAAUCUCAUAAUCAUGAAAUGCGGCAAUUGCUAGCAUCACUCUAAUAGAUUUAAUCUUCGCAACUGGUGAGAAGGUCUCAUCAUAGUCAACUCCGGGAGUUUGAGUAAAGCCCUUCGCAACCAAUCGCGCUUUAUAUGUGUGUACGUUUCCAUCCACGUCGGUCUUCUUCUUGAAGAUCCAUUUGCACCCAACGGUCUUACGUCCGGGCACAUAAUCAACCAAAUUCCAAACUUGGUUAUCAUACAUGGAUUGGAUCUCGCUAUCCAUUGCCUCUUUCCAUUUUGCAGACUCCGGGCCUGCCAUGGCUUCCUUAUAGCUAUUAGGUUCAUCAAGAUUUAUUAGUGUACCAUCACUAAUAUACGUGUCCCCUUCGGUAGUAAUAUGAAAACCAUAAAACUGGGGUUGAACUCUAACUCUAUCGGAACGUCUAAGAGGUAAGGAUUCGUCAAUCGGUUCAACCGGAGUUUCCUCCUCGGGUUGAAUGCCAGCGGUAGAGGUUCCUUCAUCUAUCGACUCUUGAAUCUCUUCAAGUUCGAUUUGCCUCCCACUGUCUCCUUGGCUUAUGAGUUCUCGCUCUCGGAAAACUCCUCUCCUCGCAACGAAGACAACAUUGUCCUUCGGUCUAUAGAAGAGAUAUCCAAAGGAUGUCUGCGGGUAGCCGAUGAAAAUACAUCGCUCACUUCGAGGUUCAAGCUUGUCGUGAGUAUCUCGUCUUACGAAAGCCUCGCAACCCCAAACCUUGAUAUGUGCCAACGAGGGAGCUUUCCCUGUCCACAUCUCGUGAGGUGUUUUGGCAACCUUCUUAGUAGGGACUCGGUUAAGGAUAUGGGCGGCAGUCUCUAAGGCAUACCCCCAAAAAGAGAUAGGUAGUGAAGCACGACUCAUCAUAGAGCGAACCAUAUCCAAUAAGGUUCGAUUACGCCUUUCUGCCACACCAUUCAACUGCGGUGUCCUAGGAGGCGUCAAUUGCGAAACUAUUCCACACUCCUUGAGAUAAUCGUGGAAUUCAAGACUUAGGUACUCUCCUCCUCGAUCGGAUCGAAGCAUCUUGAUUUUCCUGCCCAAUUGAUUCUCCACUUCAUUCUUGAACUCUUUGAACUUUUCAAAGGUUUCUGACUUUUGCUUGAUUAAGUAGAUAUACCCAUAUCUACUAUAGUCAUCGGUAAAAGUCACAUAGAAGCGGUUCCCAUCCUUCGUGGUUGAUCUAAACGGUCCACAUACAUCGGUAUGUAUUAGGUCCAAUAGACCCUCGCCCCUUUCACAUGUACUCGUGAAGGGUGACUUAGUCAUCUUUCCAAGCAAACAAGACUCGCAUGUGUCAUCUUCCCUAAGGUCGAAUGACUCCAACACUCCAUCCUUUUGGAGUUGGGCUAUGCGUUUCUUGUUGACAUGUCCAAGACGACAAUGCCACAAGGAUGCUUUAUCCAUACUAGUGGAAGAAUCAAUAUUCAAAACAUCAUUUCCUAAGUUAUCAACAAUCAUAACGGUUUCAUAUAUUCCAUUACAUGGUAUAGCUUCAAAGUAAAAGACACCAUUUAGAUAAGCCAAAAUAGAACCAUUCUCAUUAUUAAAAGAAAAUCUAAAUCCUUGUCUAUAUAAACCAUGAAAUGAAAUGAUGUUUCUAGCCAUUUCUGGCGAAUAGCAACAAUUGUUCAAAUCUAAAACCAAACUAUUCCUAAGCACUAAAGAAUACACUCCAAUCUUGGUCACAGGCGACGAUCUUCUGUUCCCCAUGAUUAGAUUGAUCCUUCCUUGCUCCACAUCCCUACUUCUUCUUAGUCCCUGCACAUUAGAACAAAUGUGAUAACCACAACCGGUAUCAAGAACCCAAGAAAUAGCAUGAUUAGAAUCGUUAGAUUUGAUUGUAUAUAUACCUGCGAAAGAUGGCUUGAUCUUUCCUUCUUUGAUUGCUUGCAGGUAAUCCGGGCAGCUUCUCUUCCAAUGUCCUAUCUUGUGGCAGUGGUGGCACUCUGCCUCCUUCGGGUUAGAGCAGGGCUUGGCGGGAUCAACUUUGGUCCCACUAGAAGAGGCACCAUCUCGGGCUUUCACCUUGCGAUAGUUCUUCGAUGAAGCUUUCCUCUUCUUUCCCUUCCCUUGUCCAAUAGCCAAGACAGGAGCAGCGGGCGGAUUGGGAGUAGGUGCAACAGACUUGUCCUUGAAGUUGCUCUCAGCAACCCUCAAGAGACCUUGGAGCUUGCUUAGGGUGACCUCUUCUUUGUUCAUGUGGUAGGUCAUCCUAAAUUGGUUGUACAUCGGAGGCAAAGAGUGAAGCACCAUGUCGAUCGCCAAGUCUUCACCGAAGUCAACAUUUAACUUGCGGAGGCGGUCAACAUACCUUUGCAUCUUUUGCAAGUGCACGGUAAGAGAUUCUCCAUGACCCAUCUUCGCGGAAAUCAUGUUAGUGAAAAUCUCGUACCUCUCUUGUCUCGCGUUUUGGUGGUACCUCUCCAAUAAGUCUUGAUGCAUCUCGUACGGGUACAUGUCCUCGUAGGACUUUUGGAAUUCGGAGUUCAUGGUGGCGAUCAUGAUGCAAUGUACCUUCGUUGCAUCUCGCUCAUGAGUUUCAAAGGCGGUGAUUUCGGCGGGAGUAGCAAUUUCGGGGUUGAUUUUCUCGAGCUUCUCAUCGAGGACAUACUCCUUAUCCUCAUAGCGAGCAAUGGUGCGAAUGUAUCUUAUCCAUUCGCUAAAGUUCGUUCCAUCGAAGGUGACCUUUUGGCAAAGGCUCAUCAACGUGAAAGAACUAGCAGCAGCGUUGUUUGCGUUCGACAUCUACAAUUAGAAAAGGACAAAGAUAGAUUAGAAUAAGAAUCCCUAAUUAUCACCCAAUAAGAAAAUUAGGGCUAGGAUCCAACAAUAACAUUUACAUACUAGAAAAGGGAUGCCGUAAUCUAACAUGCAAAUAAAUUGAAGGUAAGUGAAUGACGAUUCACUAAUUCUCCAUCACAAAACUUAAACUAUUAGUCCUAAGUGUUUUUGAGAAUUCCUAGGUUCGGAUGAGAUUCAUUGAAACUAUUCAAUGGCAUGUUUAAAUCUCGAUAUGCCCCUCUUGUUUGUGACUGGGAUGCCGAGGAUCACAAAGCGGGUGUGAAUUACCAUGCAAAUUCACAUGGUGCCUUCAUUGUAACAAUCACCUAUUCGAUGUGCCGGUAAACCACACACGCUCCAUCGAACUAUGAUAAACAAUGAAUCACCCUUUGCCACCUUCGCUUAGAACCAAUUAGUGUGCCGGUAAACCACACACGCUCCACUAACAUCUUAGCAAGGUGCAAAGUGUAAUUUCAUGGGAUUGCAUCAAUUCACUUUUCCUAAAGUAACUAGGAUUGGGAAAUUUUAAAAAAAUGUGUAGUUACUUUAUAUUUCUUAUUAUACUUUUAAUGAGAGGAUGAGGUUGCCCUAUCCUACCCGUUCGGCUAACGACCCUCCACCAAUCAAGCAAGCGGUGGGUGUGAGUGUACACCCAUUAAGCGCCAUUUUAUAGGCCGCAACCUUAUACCCACCUUAUAGAUCGGCUUCGUGAAUGAGGCCUACUAACGGUAAGACUAGCAUUUAGUUAUACAUAUAUAUAUUAUUCUAGUAAUAUCAUAUUAGUAUAGGGUUGUAUUUUAAAACUUUUAAAAUCUAGGGUUUGAAAUUUAAGUUGUCUAAAUUAAAACUUUUAAUCACAAAAGUAAAUUUCAAAACAUGAGGGUAGGUUUUAAACAUUUAAAACAUGGAGGAUCAAAUAACAAAUAAUUCCAAUUAACAAUUAAUAUCCUAAUUAUCUAUAUUUGAUUUAUUCAAGAUUUCUUUUAAAGAUAAUUACCAAAAUAAUCAAAAUAAUUAAUUAAUUAUCAUAUAAGGAAAUUAAAUAUUUAAUUAGUUGAUAAUUACCUUUAACUAGAUCAAGAUAAUAGUUAUAUUUAUCAGAAAAACGAAUUAAUGUUGAUCUAAUUAGUUUAUGGUAAGUUAAGAUAAGAUAAACACAAAGAAAUCCCGAAUCUGGCCAUUCCUGACGCCUGGACUCGCCGAGUGCACAAAUGGACUCGCCGAGUCAGGCCUACUCGCCGAGUCCACUUUGAGACUCGCCGAGUCCAUGACUCAGAAACCAAAAAUUCGAAUUUUGCAGGUUUGUUUCAGUUAAUCAAGCAACAAUUUACAGAAAACCAAGCUAGGCUCUGAUACCACUGAUGGGUUUUAGCCAUAAGAACUUUCCUAUGUGCGCAUGCAAAACCCUAAUGCUUGGAUCUAGGCUUUCUAAUAAACAUGCUUUGAAUCCAAGACUUCUAAUUACUAAUUAGGUUAAACAAGAACAUUAAAACAGAUCUAGAAUCAUACCUUUGAGUUCCUUGUUGAUCUUGAGGUCUUGGAGCUUCUAGAGUCACAAAUGUCACUCCUCUAAUCGCUUACAAACACCAGUAGCAAGGAAGAUGAUUUAGGAGAGAGGAGAGGGAAGGAAAUCGGCCAGGGUUCUCUUACUUUAGGAGAGAUAUCAAAUUCCCUAUGCCAUGGAGUCUAUUUAUACUUGUAGACUCCUUAAGGGUUACAACCUAAACCCUAAUUGGAUAAUCUUCUUUUAAGGCUAUCCAAAUCCUUUCCAUAGAUAAGCCUUUGGACAAUUUUAGCUAUCCUAUAUCUCAUAGAAUUCGUCCAUAGCAUAUCCAAAU
rnacentral:lncRNA from 1 species